rnacentral:rRNA from 1 species
CACGUAGUUAGCCGUGGCUUCCUCCUUGGGUACCGUCAUUAUCUUCCCCAAAGACAGAGCUUUACGAUCCGAAAACCUUCAUCACUCACGCGGCGUUGCUGCAUCAGGGUUUCCCCCAUUGUGCAAUAUUCCCCACUGCUGCCUCCCGUAGGAGUCUGGGCCGUGUCUCAGUCCCAAUGUGGACGAUCACCCUCUCAGGUCGGCUACGCAUCGUCGCCUUGGUAGGCCGUUACCCCACAACUAGCUAAUGCGCCGCGGGUCCAUCUCAUAGCGGAUUGCUCCUUUGGUUAAAUGAUGAUGCCAUCUUUCAACAUUAUGCGGUAUUAAUCUUCCUUUCGGAAGGUCUAUUCCACUCUAUGAGGCAGGUUACCCAGUGUUACUCACCCGUCCGCCGCUAAUCCGUUUCCGAAGGAACUUCAUCGCUCGACUUGCAUGUGUUAAGCACGCCGCCAGCGUUCAUCCUGAGCCAGGAUCAAACUCU